rnacentral:lncRNA from 1 species
CAAUGUUAAGCACAAGAAAUGCACUCUUCCGCUUCUCAAAGUCAUUCCCUAACGCUCCUUCCCUCUCCCUUCCUAAACCUUCUAGAGUCUUCUUCGCUUUCGCUUCCAACCAUUCAGAUGUAACUUAUUAUAAUAUUUUCAAUGUUUCGUUUCUUAAUUUCUAAUUUUGUUUAUUUAUUUUCAUUUUAAAAGUUAUAUUUGUUGUUUUCAGUGGAGAAAUUCAGCAGAAGGACCGAGAAGCACUUCAGCCGGUUGGGGUUAUGAUUCUCCUUCAUCAAAGACAAAACGCGAUUCCAAUAACAGAGAGAGAGCGAGAGCGACCGCAAGUGAAGGCGUAGACGCAGAAGACGUAAAAGAAUACGCACGUGAGACACAGAAAGCAGCAGAGAGUGCGGGAGAGAAAGCAGUGGAUUAUGCAUACGAAGCAAAAGACAGAACAAAGGAAGCAGCAGAGAGUGGUGGAGAGAAAGUAAGAGAGUAUGCAAAUGAUGCAAAAGCGGGUGCAGAGAGUGCUGGAGGGAAAGUGGUAGAUUAUGCUUAUGAAGCAAAGGAGGCAGCAGAGAGUGCUGGAGAGAAAGCAAUAGAUGGUAUUGAGAGAAACGCUGACGCAACAGCCAAGAAGACAGGGGAGGUUGCAGGGGCGACGACUGAAGCUCUGAAGAAUGCAGGGGAGAAGGUGAAGCAGAC